rnacentral:rRNA from 1 species
CCUACGGGAGGCUGCAGUGAGGAAUAUUGGUCAAUGGGAGAGAUCCUGAACCAGCCACGCCGCGUGCGGGAAGACGGCCCUAUGGGUUGUAAACCUCUUUUGUCGGAGAACAAAACCCGGGACGAGUCCCGGACUGCGUGUAUCCGAAGCAAAAGCAUCGGCUAACUCCUUGCCAGCAGCCGCGGUAAUUCGGAGGAUGCGAGCGUUAUCCGGAUCUAUUGGGGUUAAAGGGUUCGUGGGGGGUCUGUUCAGGCAGCGGUAAAAUUGCGGGGCUAAAACCCGGCGAGCCGUUGAAACUGGCAGACUUGAGUGAGCGAGAGGUACGCGGAAUGCGCGGUGGAGCGGUGAAAUGCAUAGAUAUCGCGCAGAACUCC